rnacentral:rRNA from 1 species
UGAAGCGGGAAAAGCUCAAAUUUAAAAUCUGGCGUCCUCCGGGCGUCCGAGUUGUAAUCUGGAGAAGCGUUUUCCGCGUCGGACCGUGUACAAGUCUUCUGGAACGGAGCGUCAUAGAGGGUGAGAAUCCCGUCUCUGACACGGACUACCGAUGCUUUUGUGAUGCGCUCUCGAAGAGUCGAGUUGUUUGGGAAUGCAGCUCAAAAUGGGUGGUAAAUUCCAUCUAAAGCUAAAUAUUGGCCAGAGACCGAUAGCGAACAAGUACCGUGAGGGAAAGAUGAAAAGCACUUUGGAAAGAGAGUUAAACAGUACGUGAAAUUGUUGAAAGGGAAACGCUUGAAGUCAGUCGCGUUGGCCGAGACUCAGCCUGGCUUGCCUGGUGUACUUCUCGGUUGACGGGUCAGCAUCAGUUUUGACCGUCGGAUAAAGGUUGGAGGAAUGUGGCAUCCCUCGGGAUGUGUUAUAGCCUCUGAUUCGCAUACGGCGAUUGGGACUGAGGAACUCAGCACGCCUUUAUGGUCGGGGUUCGCCCACGUAACGUGCUUAGGAUGCUGGCAUAAUGGCUUUAAGCGACCCGUCUUGAAACACGGACCAAGGAGUCUAACAUGCCCGCGAGUGUUUGGGUGUUAAACCCGAGCGCGUAAUGAAAGUGAAAGUUGAGAUCCCUGUCG